GUAAAUACUGGUUGCCGUCAGAUCACGAAAGUUAAGCAACGUCGAGACUGGUCAUUAUCUAGAUGGGAGACCGCUUGUGAAUACCAGGUGCUGUAAG